GUGCUCCCGUUGGCAGCACUUAUAUUAAAACUGGAAAAAUACGGAGAAGAUCAGCAUGGCUCCUGCACAGGGACGACAUGCAAAUUCAUGAAGUGCUGCAUAUUUUU